rnacentral:rRNA from 1 species
GGUGGCGGACGGGUGAGGAAUACAUCGGAAUCUACUCUGUCGUGGGGGAGUAACGUAGGGAAACUUACGCUAAUACCGCAUACGACCUACGGGUGAAAGCAGGGGAUCUUCGGACCUUGCGCGAUUGAAUGAGCCGAUGUCGGAUUAGCUAGUUGGCGGGGUAAAGGGCCACCAAGGCGACGAUCCGUAGCUGGUCUGAGAGGAUGAUCAGCCACACUGGAACUGAGACACGGUCCAGACUCCUACGGGAGGCAGCAGCA